AGCGAACGCUGGCGGCAGGCUUAACACAUGCAAGUCGAGCGGGCGUAGCAAUACGUCAGCGGCAGACGGGUGAGUAACGCGUGGGAACAUACCUUUUGGUUCGGAACAACCCAGGGAAACUUGGGCUAAUACCGGAUAAGCCCUUACGGGGAAAGAUUUAUCGCCGAAAGAUUGGCCCGCGUCUGAUUAGCUAGUUGGUGAGGUAAUGGCUCACCAAGGCGACGAUCAGUAGCUGGCUGAGAGGAUGAUCAGCCACAUUGGGACUGAGACACGGCCCAAAACUCCUACGGGAGGCAGCAGUGGGGAAUAUUGGACAAUGGGCGCAAGCCUGAUCCAGCCAUGCCGCGUGAGUGAUGAAGGCCCUAGGGUUGUAAAGCUCUUUUGUGC
rnacentral:rRNA from 1 species